GACGAACGCUGGCGGCGUGCUUAACACAUGCAAGUCGAACGGAAAGGCCCUGCUUUUGUGGGGUGCUCGAGUGGCGAACGGGUGAGUAACACGUGAGUAACCUGCCCUUGACUUUGGGAUAACUUCAGGAAACUGGGGCUAAUACCGGAUAGGAGCUCCUGCUGCAUGGUGGGGGUUGGAAAGUUUCGGCGGUUGGGGAUGGACUCGCGGCUUAUCAGCUUGUUGGUGGGGUAGUGGCUUACCAAGGCUUUGACGGGUAGCCGGCCUGAGAGGGUGACCGGCCACAUUGGGACUGAGAUACGGCCCAGACUCCUACGGGAGGCAGCAGUGGGGAAUAUUGCACAAUGGGCGGAAGCCUGAUGCAGCAACGCCGCGUGCGGGAUGACGGCCUUCGGGUUGUAAACCGCUUUCGCCUGUGACGAAGCGUGAGUGACGGUAAUGGGUAAAGAAGCACCGGCUAGCUACGUGCCAGCAGCCGCGGUGAUACGUAGGGUGCGAGCGUUGUCCGGAUUUAUUGGGCGUAAAGGGCUCGUAGGUGGUUGAUCGCGUCGGAAGUGUAAUCUUGGGGCUUAACCCUGAGCGUGCUUUCGAUACGGGUUGACUUGAGGAAGGUAGGGGAGAAUGGAAUUCCUGGUGGAGCGGUGGAAUGCGCAGAUAUCAGGAGGAACACCAGUGGCGAAGGCGGUUCUCUGGGCCUUUCCUGACGCUGAGGAGCGAAAGCGUGGGGAGCGAACAGGCUUAGAUACCCUGGUAGUCCACGCUGUAAACGGUGGGUACUAGGUGUGGGGUCCAUUCCACGGGUUCCGUGCCGUAGCUAACGCUUUAAGUACCCCGCCUGGGGAGUACGGCCGCAAGGCUAAAACUCAAAGGAAUUGACAGGGCCCCGCACAAGCGGCGGAGCAUGCGGAUUAAUUCGAUGCAACGCGUAGAACCUUACCUGGGUUUGACAUGGAUCGGGAGUGCUCAGAGAUGGGUGUGCCUCUUUUGGGGUCGGUUCACAGGUGGUGCAUGCCUGUCGUCAGCUCGUGUCGUGAGAUGUUGGGUUAAGUCCCGCGACGAGCGCAACCCUUGUUCACUGUUGCCAGCACGUUAUGGUGGGGACUCAGUGGAGACCGCCGGGGUCAACUCGGAGGAAGGUGGGGAUGACGUCAAGUCAUCAUGCCCCUUAUGUCCAGGGCUUCACGCAUGCUACAAUGGCUGGUACAGAGAGUGGCGAGCCUGUGAGGGUGAGCGAAUCUCGGAAAGCCGGUCUCAGUUCGGAUUGGGGUCUGCAACUCGACCUCAUGAAGUCGGAGUCGCUAGUAAUCGCAGAUCAGCAACGCUGCGGUGAAUACGUUCCCGGGGCU
rnacentral:rRNA from 1 species